rnacentral:rRNA from 1 species
ACGCUGACACCUACGGGAGACAGCAGUGGGGAAUAUUGGGCAAUGGGCGCAAGCCUGACCCAGCAACGCCGCGUGAAGGAAGAAGGCCCUCGGGUUGUAAACUUCUUUUGACAGGGACGAAACAAAUGACGGUACCUGUCGAAUAAGCCACGGCUAACUACGUGCCAGCAGGCGGUAAUCUGAGCGGGCUGGCAAGGC